rnacentral:rRNA from 1 species
GUCUGCAACCCGACUACAUGAAGCUGGAAUCGCUAGUAAUCGCGGAUCAGAAUGCCGCGGUGAAUACGUUCCCGGGUCUUGUACACACCGCCCGUCACACCAUGGGAGUCGGAAAUGCCCGAAGUCUGUGACCCAACCUGCAAGGGAGGGAGCAGCCGAAGGCAGGUCGGAUGACUGGGGUGAAGUCGUAACAAGGUAGC